rnacentral:rRNA from 1 species
CAGUAGCGGUACAGAGGGUAGCCAACCCGCGAGGGGGAGCCAAUCCCACAAAGCCGGUCGUAGUCCGGAUCGCAGUCUGCAACUCGACUGCGUGAAGUCGGAAUCGCUAGUAAUCGCGGAUCAGCAUGUCGCGGUGAAUACGUUCCCGGGCCUU